rnacentral:rRNA from 1 species
GACUAAGCCAUGCAAGUCUUCCGCAAGGAGGCGAAAGGCUGAGUAACAUGUAGGUAACCUGCCCUUAGGUGGGGGAUACCCUCGGGAAACUGAGAUCAAUACCCCAUAGGUUUAAGGUAUUGGAAUGUCCUUAAAUCAAAAGCAUACGCGCCUAAGGAUGGGCCUGCAUCUGAUCAGGUUGUUGGCGGGGUAAUGGCCCACCAAGCCUAAGACCAGUAGGAGCAGUGAGAGCUGGAGCCCCCAGACGGGUACUGAGACACGGACCCGAGCCCUACGGGGUGCAGCAGGCGCGAAACCUUCACAAUGCACGAAAGUGUGAUGGGGGGACUCCAAGUGUUCUUGUUUUUCAAGAACUUUUGUGAAGUGAAAAAAGCUUCACGAAUAAGGGCUGGGUAAGACGGGUGCCAGCCGCCGCGGUAAUACCCGCAGCCCGAGUGGUCUGGAGUUUUAUUGGGUCUAAAGCGUUCGUAGCCGGACCUGUAAGUUCUCUGUGAAAUCUGGCAGCUUAACUGUCAGGCGUGCAGAGAAUACUGCAGGUCUUGAGACCGGGAUGGGCCAAAGGUACUCUUUGGGUAGGGGUGAAAUCCGAUAAUCCAGAGGGGACCAUCAGUGGCGAAGGCGUUUGGCUAAAACGGUUCUGACGGUGAGGGGCGAAAGCUAGGGGAGCGAACGGGAUUAGAUACCCCGGUAGUCCUAGCCGUAAAUGCUGCAGACUAGGUGUUGCAUAUCCUUCGAGGGUAUGCAGUGCCGCAGAGAAGUCGUUAAGUCUGCCACCUGGGAAGUACGGUCGCAAGGCUGAAACUUAAAGGAAUUGACGGGGGAGCACAACAAGGGGUGGAGCCUGCGGUUUAAUUGGAUUCAACGCCGGG